rnacentral:lncRNA from 1 species
UGUACUCAAGUGUUGAUCGAAAUAAUGAAUGUUUGAUGGAUGUAGAAGAUCUCCAUUAACAUAAAUCUGAUAGCCACUGACAAAAGCAGAUAGAUGAAUCUUUGGCGUCUAAACAAGGAUGACUAAUUGGUGUAUGACCUCCGGAUAUGUUAGUGCACUCCGUUAGGCAUAUCCUUGAAUCUUUUUCUGGUGGACAAAUAACCCCCAGGACAAAUCGUUCACAAACCCCUGUUUCAAUACCUUCAACUGAACGCAUUCCAUUGUCUGCACAUAUAAAAAAAUACUUGUUAUUAAUGUUACAAUGUGCAAAUGUAUUUCAGGACAAGUUUACGGGAUAACUUAUAAAAAAUCUUCUCCCCGCAGAUAAUUUGACUUCAACAGAGUUAAUAUGGCCUUAGUCAAAUCCAAUUUCAUUUGAUUAAUAAAUGGGGAAAAAAAAAGAAUAUCCAAAAGACUUGCCACCUUUUUGGAUAACAAACCUAGCAUAAGUAUCGGUAGAAAAAUUAGUUUAUUAGCAAGAAUAUACCUGAUGCAAGAAUAAAAAAAGCGGUCACAACGAAAAAUGUUGCUAAUGUUUGACUCAUCUUCU